rnacentral:lncRNA from 1 species
AAUAAUGGUGUGAUGAAUAUCGGAGCAAGUAGACCUUCUUCAACGCCCCAGCUUUCUUCAGUUCAACUUGGAAUUAAAGACUAUGAUUUUUCAUCAUUAACACAAGGGAUGUUUUUGAAUCGGUGAGAGAUUAGUACCAUGAUUUUAAUACCUUCACCAGCAAUGACUGCCUGUUUCCCCCAUCGGAAACAGAAAACAUAGCAACAGUGACCCAAAAAGAAAAUAAAAAUUAGUGUUGAUUUAUAUCCAAAGUUCAUGUUUGGUGAUAAUGA